CUACGGGUCGCACCAGUGGGGAAUACUGCACAAUGGGCGCAAGCCUGAUGCAGCCAUGCCGCGUGUAUGAAGAAGGCCUUCGGGUUGUAAAGUACUUUCAGCGGGGAGGAAGGGAGUAAAGUUAAUACCUUUGCUCAUUGACGUUACCCGCAGAAGAAGCACCGGCUAACUCCGUGCCAGCAGCCGCGGUAAUACGGAGGGUGCAAGCGUUAAUCGGAAUUACUGGGCGUAAAGCGCACGCAGGCGGUUUGUUAAGUCAGAUGUGAAAUCCCCGGGAUCAACCUGGGAACUGCAUCUGAUACUGGCAAGCUUGAGUCUCGUAGAGGGGGGUAGAAUUCCAGGUGUAGCGGUGAAAUGCGUAGAGAUCUGGAGGAAUACCGGUGGCGAAGGCGGCCCCCUGGACGAAGACUGACGCUCAGGUGCGAAAGCGUGGGGAGCAAACAGGAUUAGAUACCCGGGUAGUC
rnacentral:rRNA from 1 species